ACGUAUCAUUCUCUAAAUCUUUGAAUUAGUCUUUGAUGACAUUCCAUUUUGGAUUAUCAUUAAUAAAUUUUAAAAUAUUUUUCAUAAUCAACCGUCAAAAUUUCCUAUUUCAUUUCAUGCAUACGAGUAAGUUUGUUUUUUCCAUUUAAAGACCUUUGCUUUUUGUGUUUUUGGUUACUGGGUCGUCGGAAAGAUUGUGUUUUUUUGGCGGUGAAGAAUGGGGAAGGUGACAGUGGUGGUGGCCUGCGCCGCGGCGGUAGCUGUUGGGUUGGCGGCGGCGGUUGUGGUGCGACGGAGGAUGAAGAGGGAAGGGAAGUGGGGGAAGGCAAGGGAGAUAUUGAAGGAGCUUGAAGAGAAAUGUGGGACCCCUGUGGUUAAGUUGAAGCAAGUGGCAGAUGCUAUGACCGUGGAGAUGCACGCAGGGCUUGCCUCUGAAGGUGGCAGCAAGCUCAAGAUGAUCAUCAGCCAUGUGGACUGCCUCCCAACUGGUAAUGAGAAGGGAGUAUUUUAUGCAUUGGACCUUGGGGGAACCAAUUUCCGUGUGUUGAGGGUGCAACUGGGAGGCAAGGGUGUUGGUCUAGUUAACCAAGAAUUUGCCGAGGUGUCAAUUCCUUCCAAUCUUAUGACUGGAACUUCAGAUGCUCUUUUUGAGUAUAUUGCAGCAGAACUUGCAAAAUUUGUUGCUCAAGAAGGUCCAGAAUACCAACUUCCUCCGGGUAGGCAGAGGGAGCUAGGUUUUACCUUCUCUUUCCCUGUAGUGCCAACAUCAAUCACUUCUGGAACCCUGGCCAGGUGGUCAAAAGGCUUCUCUAUAGAUGAUGCGAUAGGACGAGAUGUGGUGGCCGAAUUGUCCAAAGCUAUGCGAAAAGUAGGCCUUGAUAUUCGUGUGUCAGCUCUUGUCAAUGAUACGGUUGGAACAUUAGCCGGAGGAAGAUAUGAGCACCCUGAUGUUGUUGCUGCCGUCAUCUUAGGCACUGGCUCAAAUGCAGCAUAUGUGGAGCGUGUACAAGCAAUUCCAAAAUGGCAUGGUUUAUCUAAAACUGGAGAUAUGGUUAUUAACAUGGAGUGGGGUAACUUUAGGUCGUCACACCUUCCACUAACAGACUAUGAUCACACAAUGGAUGCCGAGAGUUUGAACCCUGGUGACCAUAUUUAUGAGAAAAUGAUUUCUGGUAUGUAUUUGGGAGAGAUUGUUCGCAGAGUUUUAUUGAGGAUGGCUGAAGAAGCUGCAAUUUUUGGUGCCACUGUUCCACCAAAUCUUAAAGAGCCUUUUAUAUUGAGGACUCCUGUUAUGUCAGCUAUGCAUCAUGACACAUCUUCUGAUCUCAAAGUAGUUGAAAACAAAUUGAAGGAGGUGUUAGAGGUAUCCAAUACUUCCUUGAGAGUGCGGAAAAUUAUAGUAGAGGUCUGCAACAUUAUUGCCACACGUGGGGCUCGUCUUUCAGCAGCUGGGAUCGUGGGUGUCCUGAAGAAAAUUGGAAGAGAUACAUUAAAGGAGGGGGGUAAACAGAAGACUGUAAUAGCCAUGGAUGGUGGAUUGUAUGAACACUACUCUGAAUAUAGCAAAUGCUUGGAAAUUACCCUAGAAGAAUUGCUCGGAGAUGAAGUAUUUAAAAACAUCGUCAUCAAGCACUCUAACGAUGGCUCAGGCAUCGGGGCUGCCCUUCUUGCUGCCUCACACUCCAAGUACCUUGAAGAAUAGUCCCAAAAAAUGACUUGCAGCACCUCCUCAGCUUAAUUAUCAUCUUUCUCCAUCAAAAUGAUCUCCCUGGAGAUCUGAAAUUCAUGGAGAUAAAGGAAGAAACACACUAAAGAGAGGAAACCAAAAGGUGACAACAGAUGGGGACAGGUGUCACCCCAGCAGACUCCAAGGCCUUCAGAACCAACAAAGCACAGCAGGUCACAGACAGCAGCUGCAGAAACGGUUAAAGGAAUGGUCACAGAUGACAGCUGGAGAAACGGUUAAAGGAAUAUAAAAAGAGAAUGAGCGUCAGGGAGAAGGGGGGAAGAAAAAUAUGAGAAGAGUGGAGGAGAAUUGAGGAGGGAGCAGACCUUUUGUAGGCUCUGCAGGCAAUUUACUUAUUGUUAAGUUUAUUUUAUGUAAUUUGGUUUUCCAGAGUAAUAUUAAGGAAUUAUUUCUGUAAUCAGAAGAGAUUGUUUAUCUUUAUUAGGGAAUGUUAGCAGACUUUCAUAUUUUGAUUGAACUAAACAUACAACGUUCAUUAUUACA